CAUCCAUUCCCAGCUUGAGUUUUGUGUGUUUUUUCAGCGCUGCUGCGCUGUCUAUUCCAUUUGCCUUCCAGCUAUCUUGUACUGGAAACCUUUCCAGCCUCCAAAAUGGCGCCGAUCGUUUUUUGGACCGCCCACAGAGACCUUUUCCUUGGUCUCAUGUGUGCUGUCAUUACUUUUGGCUACAUUGGGAUCAGCUGAGCUUGUCAGCUGGGUGGAUUAUUUUCCUUCUGCUGACGCCCAGGUCAUGUGUCUGCACUGCGGCGCUUUGAUUGGUCAAUCAUCGCCGUGGUGGCAGAUUUAAAGCCCAAGCGCUGUGUUAGGCGCUCCAGCUGAGACCAGACCUAAUUAAUGCAAGGAAAGGCUGCUGUAUGCACAGCUAUCUAGGUGGCUCUGCCUUUUCAUCUUUGGACUUUGUCCUAAUCAGAGCGGAUGCCGCUUU